AACAAGGCGUACCUGCGGACCUGCGGAAGGAUCAUUAAAGAGAAAACUGCCCUUUGGGUAGAUCUCCCACCCUUUGUUUACCUUACCUUUGUUGCUUUGGCAGGCCCGUCUUCUGACCACCGGCUUUUAGCUGGUCCGUGCCUGCCAGAGGACCCCCAACUCUUGAUUUCAAGUUGUCCGAGUCUUAUACAAUAGUAAAAACUUUUAACAAUGGAUCU
rnacentral:misc_RNA from 1 species